UCGAUCUGUGUCUCCGAUGAUGAUGUAAAUUUUUACUUUCGUUCUUCUGAAGUUGCAAUGUGGAAGAACUAUUUGGAGACCUGAACUGAGGGGGUUCCCAUCGA
rnacentral:snoRNA from 1 species